AUGGGGUGACUGCGUACCUUUUGUAUAAUGGGUCAGCGACUUAUAUUCUGUAGCAAGGUUAACCGUAUAGGGGAGCCGUAGGGAAACCGAGUCUUAACUGGGCGAAUGAGUUGCAGGGUAUAGACCCGAAACCCGGUGAUCUAUCCAUGGGCAGGUUGAAGGUUGGGUAACACUAACUGGAGGACCGAACCGACUAAUGUUGAAAAAUUAGCGGAUGACUUGUGGAUGGGGGUGAAAGGCCAAUCAAACCGGGAGAUAGCUGGUUCUCCCCGAAAGCUAUUUAGGUAGCGCCUCGUGAACUCAUCUUCGGGGGUAGAGCACUGUUUCGACUAGGGGGUCAUCCCGACUUACCAACUCGAUGCAAACUGCGAAUACCGAAGAAUGUUAUCACGGGAGACACACGGCGGGUGCUAACGUCCGUCGUGAAGAGGGAAACAACCCAGACCGCCAGCUAAGGUCCCAAAGUCAUGGUUAAGUGGGAAACGAAGUGGGAAGGCUCAGACAGCCAGGAUGUUGGCUUAGAAGCAGCCAUCAUUUAAAGAAAGCGUAAUAGCUCACUGGUCGAGUCGGCCCGCGCGGAAGAUGUAACGGGGCUAAACCAUGCACCGAAGCUGCGGCAGCGACACAAAGUGUUGUUGGGUAGGGGAGCGUUCUGUAAGCCUGCGAAGGUGUACUGUGAGGUAUGCUGGAGGUAUCAGAAGUGCGAAUGCUGACAUAAGUAACGAUAAUGCGGGUGAAAAACCCGCACGCCGGAAGACCAAGGGUUCCUGUCCAACGUUAAUCGGGGCAGGGUGAGUCGACCCCUAAGGCGAGGCUGAAAAGCGUAGUCGAUGGGAAACGGGUUAAUAUUCCCGUACUGGUGGUAACUGCGAUGGGGGAACGGAGAAGGCUAGGUUGUCCGGGCGACGGUCGUCCCGGUUCAAGCAGGUAGGCAGAGUGAUUAGGCAAAUCCGGUCACUUAAUGCUGAGAUGUGAUGACGAACCACCAAGGUGGUGAAGCAAUUGAUGCCCCGCUUCCAGGAAAAGCCUCUAAGCUUCAGGUUACCAACAAUCGUACCCCAAACCGACACAGGUGGUCAGGUAGAGAAUACUCAGGCGCUUGAGAGAACUCGGGUGAAGGAACUAGGCAAAAUGGUGCCGUAACUUCGGGAGAAGGCACGCUGGCGGUAGGUAAAGUCCCUCGCGGACGGCGCUGAAGCCAGUCGAAGAUACCAGCUGGCUGCAACUGUUUAUUAAAAACACAGCACUGUGCAAACACGAAAGUGGACGUAUACGGUGUGACGCCUGCCCGGUGCUGGAAGGUUAAUUGAUGGGGU
rnacentral:rRNA from 1 species